GGCGGUAUGGUAGAAAAUAUACUUAAUUUUGAAUAAAGGGUUCUGAGUUCAAAUCUUGGUUCUGCCU
rnacentral:tRNA from 1 species